AAACGUUUCCUAGGAGCUCGAUUCUGUUCUAUUUGGCAGGUACAUUCUGAACGUGCGGGCCGGUCACUGUUCUGCGUCGGAGGCUCUCCCCUCGUGGAACUCGUUACCAGACGUCCAAGUGCUCAGGUCGUGCAUGCAGCCUCCCGGUUUUUUUUAAUUUUUAUUUUUCAAGAUUGUAUUUACUCGUGAGAGGCAGAGACAUAGGCAGAGGGAGAAGCACGCUCCCUCUAGGGAGCCCAAGACCAACUGGAUCCCAGGACCCCGGGGUCACGACCUGAGCCCGGCAGACGCUCAACCAGGCUACUGGAGUCUGCCAGUUUAACCCUCUGCGUUCUAAUAAAGCUCAUAACAUUUGAGAGAAGCAGCUGCAGAGACAGAGACAGUGCGCGCACAGGAGCAGGGAGAAGGACAGAGGAAGAGGGAAAAGCAGGGAGCCUGAAGCUGGGCUGGAUCCCAAGACCCCUGAGAUCAUGACCUGAGCUGAAGGCAGACACUAAACCAAGUGAGCCACCCAGGUGCUCCUCUCAAGAAAUUUUCCAAGAAGAAAUAGGAAUAGAACAGUAUAAGAGGAGGCAGGCAAUCAAAACCUCCUAUGACAACCCUGUCGUCACUGGGAACUAAGAUGCCAUCUAUUCUUCUGCUCCACCAUUCUCAGUGCAUGGCUUCCAACCCCAAGGCCUCGUGUUCCUCAACUGUAAAAAUUAAGGAAUCGUCACACCUACCUCAUAGGAUUGGCACAAGGACUAAAUGUAAAACAAUUACAGCACUACUGGUACCCACUGCACAAUGAAUAUUAACUUGUUAUUAUUUGGUAAUCCUAGUCCAGUGCUUUCCCAGAUUCCUUUCCUACUCUAACUUCCUCUCCAUAUCCAAAACUGAAACAACUCAUAUUAGUCCUUUGUACCUGCUGAUAUUCUAGAAUGAAU